rnacentral:rRNA from 1 species
GAUGAACGCUGGCGGCGUGCCUAACACAUGCAAGUCGAGCGAUUCUCUUCGGAGAAGAGCGGCGGACGGGUGAGUAACGCGUGGGUAACCUGCCCUGUACACACGGAUAACAUACCGAAAGGUAUGCUAAUACGAGAUAAUAUGCUUUUAUCGCAUGGUAGAAGUAUCAAAGCUCUGGCGGUACAGGAUGGACCCGCGUCUGAUUAGCUAGUUGGUAAGGUAACGGCUUACCAAGGCGACGAUCAGUAGCCGACCUGAGAGGGUGAUCGGCCACAUUGGAACUGAGACACGGUCCAAACUCCUACGGGAGGCAGCAGUGGGGAAUAUUGCACAAUGGGCGAAAGCCUGAUGCAGCAACGCCGCGUGAGCGAUGAAGGCCUUAGGGUUGUAAAGUCCUUUCGCUGGGGAAGAUAAUGACUGUACCCAGUAAAGAAGCCCCGGCUAACUCCGUGCCAGCAGCCGCGGUAAAGUACAGUGU